UAGAAAAUACGAGGAAAUGGAAAAGAACUAUCAGACAAAGCUAGAUGAUCUUAAAUUGAGCCAUGAAUCUCAAUUGGGAGACAUGAAAUUAAAGUACGAUGAUGUAUCGAAUCGUCUCAAUCUUUUGAUGGCUCAUGUUGGUAUCCAAGUAAACCCAAGUGGAAGUACAAGUGAACAAGUUGGAGAAAUAUCUAGGAGUUGAUGCUGGAAGUACAAGAUGUUAAUAAAUUUUACAAUUAGCAUGCUACUCUAAACUAGAUCAUUUUGUUUAGUAUUUUGACUACUACUGUAUUUGCAGCGACAUUUUAGUUUGUAUGACUCAAGGCAUUUGUUAUACAAUUAUUAUAUAGAUUACUCUUUUGUAUCAUUUCAACUG